rnacentral:rRNA from 1 species
CUCAACUCCGGGAUUGCCAUUGAAACUGUUUCACUUGAGUGUAGUCGAGGACGGCGGAAUGAGUUAUGUAGCGGUGAAAUGCAUAGAUAUAACUCAGAACACCGAUUGCGAAGGCAGCUGUCUAGGCUAUAACUGACGCUGAGGCACGAAAGCGUGGGGAGCGAACAGGAUUAGAUACCCUGGUAGUCCACGCAGUAAACGAUGAUCACUCGUUGUUGGCUACGUAGUAGUCAGUGACUGAGGGAAACCAUUAAGUGAUCCACCUGGGGAGUACGUCGGCAACGAUGAAACUCAAAGGAAUUGACGGGGGCCCGCACAAGCGGUGGAGCAUGUGGCUCAAUUCGAUGCAACGCGAAGAACCUUACCUAGGCUCGAACGCUAGGCGCCCGCUCCUGAAAGGGAGCUUUCCGCAAGGACGC